rnacentral:misc_RNA from 1 species
AAUGUCGUAACAAGGGUUUUCCGUAGGUGAACCUGCGGAAGGAUCAUUAAAAAUGUGAUUGGUUUAUAUAUUUCAUGUAUCAAGCCGCAUUAACCCAUUCCGAGUACCUUGCCUGUUGCUUCCAUGGGGUCCUGACCUAGGUCACUCUUGUGAUGUGAAACCCAAGAGAGACCCCAUGGGAGGUAAUCAUUAAAUUCAUGUAUCCAAUGUCUUCUGUCUGAACUGUUUAUAACAAUGUUAAAU